rnacentral:rRNA from 1 species
GACGAACGCUGGCGGCGUGCUUAACACAUGCAAGUCGAACGAAGUGGCGAACGGGUGAGUAACGCGUAAUCAACCUGCCCUUCAGAGGGGGACAACAGUUGGAAACGACUGCUAAUACCGCAUACUGAAGGGGGGGUUUGCGUCUGAUUAGCUCGUUGGGGGGGUAACGGCCCACCAAGGCGAUGAUCAGGAGCCGGUCUGGGGGGGAGAACGGCCAAAAGGGGACUGGGAAACGGGCCAGACUCCUACGGGAGGGAGCAGGGGGGAAUCUUCCGAAAUGGACGAAAGUCUGACGGAGCAACGCCGCGGGGGUGAUGACGGCCUUCGGGUUGUAAAGCUCUGUUAAUCGGGACGCGGUACCGGAAGAGAAAGCCACGGCUAACUACGUGCCAGCAGCCGCGGUAAUAC